UAUUGAUGAUGUGGACAGUUCUAAAGAAGAGCUUUAAACCUCUCCCAUGCAUGAUAUAAAUUCUUAUCUGACUUCUAAUUGAAGCACACAAUCUCACUAUGCAGUCU
rfam:Capsicum annuum cultivar Zunla-1 unplaced genomic scaffold scaffold170, whole genome shotgun sequence